ACUCUCGGUAGCUCAGCUGAUAAGAGCAUGAAACUCUUAAUCUUCGGGUGGUGGGUUCAAGUCCCAUAUGAGGCA